rnacentral:rRNA from 1 species
UGCUAGUUGCACGGGUUUAGACCCGUAGCAGAAAGCUCAGUAACACGUGGCCAAACUGCCCUAUGGACAAGAACAACCUCGGGAAACUGAGGCUAAUUCUUGAUAUAGCUCUCAUGCUGGAGUGCAGAGAGCUAGAAACGUUCCGGCGCCAUAGGAUGUGGCUGCGGCCGAUUAGGUAGACGGUGAGGUAACGGCCCACCGUGCCGAUAAUCGGUACAGGUUGUGAGAGCAAGAGCCUGGAGACGGUAUCUGAGACAAGAUACCGGGCCCUACGGGGCGCAGCAGGCGCGAAACCUUUACACUGCACGCCAGUGCGAUAGGGGGACUCCGAGUGCGAGGGCAUAUAGCCCUCGCUUUUCCACACCCUAAGGCGGUGUGGGAAUAAGAACUGGGCAAGACCGGUGCCAGCCGCCGCGGUAAUACCGGCAGUUCGAGUGAUGGCCGAUAUUAUUGGGCCUAAAGCGUUCGUAGCUGGCCAGUCAAGUUCGUCGGGAAACCUACCCGCUUAACGGGUAGCCGUCCGGCGAAAACUGAUUGGCUUGGGACCGGGAGACUUGAGGGGUACGUCCGGGGUAGGAGUGAAAUCCUGUAAUCCUGGACGGACCACCGAUGGCGAAAGCACCUCAAGAGCACGGAUCCGACAGUGAGGAACGAAAGCUGGGGUCUCGAACCGGAUUAGAUACCCGGGUAGUCCCAGCUGUAAACGAUGCUCGUUAGGUAUGGCACAGGCUACG